CGGACGGGUGAGUAACACGUGGAUAACCUACCUAUAAGACUGGGAUAACUUCGGGAAACCGGAGCUAAUACCGGAUAACAUAUUGAACCGCAUGGUUCAAUAGUGAAAGGCGGCUUUGCUGUCACUUAUAGAUGGAUCCGCGCCGUAUUAGCUAGUUGGUAAGGUAACGGCUUACCAAGGCAACGAUACGUAGCCGACCUGAGAGGGUGAUCGGCCACACUGGAACUGAGACACGGUCCAGACUCCUACGGGAGGCAGCAGUAGGGAAUCUUCCGCAAUGGGCGAAAGCCUGACGGAGCAACGCCGCGUGAGUGAUGAAGGUCUUCGGAUCGUAAAACUCUGUUAUCAGGGAAGAACAAAUGUGUAAGUAACUGUGCACAUCUUGACGGUACCUGAUCAGAAAGCCACGGCUAACUACGUGCCAGCAGCCGCGGUAAUACGUAGGUGGCAAGCGUUAUCCGGAAUUAUUGGGCGUAAAGCGCGCGUAGGCGGUUUUUUAAGUCUGAUGUGAAAGCCCACGGCUCAACCGUGGAGGGUCAUUGGAAACUGGAAAACUUGAGUGCAGAAGAGGAAAGUGGAAUUCCAUGUGUAGCGGUGAAAUGCGCAGAGAUAUGGAGGAACACCAGUGGCGAAGCGACUUUCUGGUCUGUAACUGACGCUGAUGUGCGAAAGCGUGGGGAUCAAACAGGAUUAGAUACCCUGGUAGUCCACGCCGUAAACGAUGAGUGCUAAGUGUUAGGGGGUUUCCGCCCCUUAGUGCUGCAGCUAACGCAUUAAGCACUCCGCC
rnacentral:rRNA from 1 species